rnacentral:rRNA from 1 species
AUUGAACGCUGGCGGCAUGCUUUACACAUGCAAGUCGAACGGUAGCAGGGAGCUUGCUCCGCUGACGAGUGGCGAACGGGUGAGUAAUGCGUCGGAACGUGCCGAGUAGUGGGGGAUAACGCAUCGAAAGGUGUGCUAAUACCGCAUACGAACUGAGGUUGAAAGUGGGGGACCUUCGGGCCUCACGCUAUUCGAGCGGCCGACGUCUGAUUAGCUAGUUGGUGAGGUAAAGGCUCACCAAGGCGACGAUCAGUAGCGGGUCUGAGAGGAUGAUCCGCCACACUGGGACUGAGACACGGCCCAGACUCCUACGGGAGGCAGCAGUGGGGAAUUUUGGACAAUGGGCGCAAGCCUGAUCCAGCCAUGCCGCGUGUCUGAAGAAGGCCUUCGGGUUGUAAAGGACUUUUGUCCGGGAGCAAAUACCCAGUGCUAAUAACGCUGGGGGCUGAGAGUACCGGAAGAAUAAGCACCGGCUAACUACGUGCCAGCAGCCGCCGUAAUAC